UACGUAGGGUGCGAGCGUUGUCCGGAAUUAUUGGGCGUAAAGAGCUCGUAGGCGGUUUGUUGCGUCUAUCGUGAAAACCUGCAGCUUAACUGUGGGCUUGCGGUGGAUACGGGCAGACUUGAGUUCGGUAGGGGAGACUGGAAUUCCUGGUGUAGCGGUGAAAUGCGCAGAUAUCAGGAGGAACACCGGUGGCGAAGGCGGGUCUCUGGGCAGUAACUGACGCUGAGGAGCGAAAGCUAGGGGAGCAAACGGG
rnacentral:rRNA from 1 species